GGGGGCGAACCAGAUUCGACGUGAACGGUUCUCGUCCCGGUGUUGCGAGUCGAGGUCCCUGGGCCGGCCUCGUUAAAAAGCCCAGGAAAACCAAGAAGUGCGGACUCUCACGAGUUCGCUCUCGCUGCCUAAGGCAGUCUGAGAGCAGUCGCCCCGGGCCGCCCACGCCCCGGGUAGCGGCUUCAUCAUGUGGGCUCACCCGACCGGCAGCUUCCUCGGCCGGACGGGGACACCACCAGGAGGAUCUGGCGCCGGCGACGUGCCCCUCGGAUCGACCGAGCCGGAUGCCGAGAGAGACUCCGUAGGGAACGCUCGUUGACGCAUCGGGGCGUCCUUCGCGGACGCCGGGGCAGUACCGGCCGCCUCCAUCG
rnacentral:tmRNA from 1 species